rnacentral:rRNA from 1 species
UACGUAGGUGGCAAGCGUUGUCCGGAUUUAUUGGGUUUAAAGGGUGCGUAGGUGGUUUGAUAAGUCAGUGGUGAAAGCCGGUUGCUCAACAAUCGAGUUGCCAUUGAUACUGUCGGACUUGAGAGAAGUGGAGGUUCAUGGAAUGGAUGGUGUAGCGGUGAAAUGCAUAGAUAUCAUCCAGAACGUCGAUUGCGAAGGCAGUGGGCUGUACUUUAUCUGACACUGAGGCACGAAAGUGUGGGGAUCAAACAGGAUUAGAUACCCUGGUAGUCCACACUGUAAACGAUGCGAACUAGCUUUUUGGUUUUUGGAUUGGGAGGCUAAGGGAAACCGAUAAGUUCGCCACCUGGGGAGUACGCCGGCAACGGUGAA